rnacentral:rRNA from 1 species
UACGUAGGGACCAAGCGUUGUUCGGAUUUACUGGGCGUAAAGGGCGCGUAGGCGGCGGGACAAGUCACUUGUGAAAUCUCUGGGCUUAACCCAGAACGGCCAAGUGAAACUGUUGUGCUAGAGUGCAGAAGGGGCAAUCGGAAUUCUCGGUGUAGCGGUGAAAUGCGUAGAUAUCGAGAGGAACACCAGAGGUGAAGACGGGUUGCUGGGCUGACACUGACGCUGAGGCGCGAAAGCCAGGGGAGCAAACGGG